rnacentral:rRNA from 1 species
GACGAACGCUGGCGGCGUGCUUAACACAUGCAAGUCGAACGGAAAGGCCCUGCUUUUGUGGGGUGCUCGAGUGGCGAACGGGUGAGUAACACGUGAGUAACCUGCCCUUGACUUUGGGAUAACUUCAGGAAACUGGGGCUAAUACCGGAUAGGAGCUCCUGCUGCAUGGUGGGGGUUGGAAAGUUUCGGCGGUUGGGGAUGGACUCGCGGCUUAUCAGCUUGUUGGUGGGGUAGUGGCUUACCAAGGCUUUGACGGGUAGCCGGCCUGAGAGGGUGACCGGCCACAUUGGGACUGAGAUACGGCCCAGACUCCUACGGGAGGCAGCAGUGGGGAAUAUUGCACAAUGGGCGGAAGCCUGAUGCAACAACGCCGCGUGCGGGAUGACGGCCUUCGGGUUGUAAACCGCUUUCGCCUGUGACGAAGCGUGAGUGACGGUAAUGGGUAAAGAAGCACCGGCUAACUACGUGCCAGCAGCCGCGGUGAUACGUAGGGUGCGAGCGUUGUCCGGAUUUAUUGGGCGUAAAGGGCUCGUAGGUGGUUGAUCGCGUCGGAAGUGUAAUCUUGGGGCUUAACCCUGAGCGUGCUUUCGAUACGGGUUGACUUGAGGAAGGUAGGGGAGAAUGGAAUUCCUGGUGGAGCGGUGGAAUGCGCAGAUAUCAGGAGGAACACCAGUGGCGAAGGCGGUUCUCUGGGCCUUUCCUGACGCUGAGGAGCGAAAGCGUGGGGAGCGAACAGGCUUAGAUACCCUGGUAGUCCACGCUGUAAACGGUGGGUACUAGGUGUGGGGUCCAUUCCACGGGUUCCGUGCCGUAGCUAACGCUUUAAGUACCCCGCCUGGGGAGUACGGCCGCAAGGCUAAAACUCAAAGGAAUUGACGGGGCCCCGCACAAGCGGCGGAGCAUGCGGAUUAAUUCGAUGCAACGCGUAGAACCUUACCUGGGUUUGACAUGGAUCGGGAGUGCUCAGAGAUGGGUGUGCCUCUUUUGGGGUCGGUUCACAGGUGGUGCAUGCCUGUCGUCAGCUCGUGUCGUGAGAUGUUGGGUUAAGUCCCGCAACGAGCGCAACCCUUGUUCACUGUUGCCAGCACGUUAUGGUGGGGACUCAGUGGAGACCGCCGGGGUCAACUCGGAGGAAGGUGGGGAUGACGUCAAGUCCUCAUGCCCCUUAUGUCCAGGGCUUCACGCAUGCUACAAUGGCUGGUACAGAGAGUGGCGAGCCUGUGAGGGUGAGCGAAUCUCGGAAAGCCGGUCUCAGUUCGGAUUGGGGUCUGCAACUCGACCUCAUGAAGUCGGAGUCGCUAGUAAUCGCAAAUCAGCAACGCUGCGGUGAAUACGUUCCCGGGGCA